UCACACACACACUUCCUCAAUAUCAAAAUGUGGAACACCUGAUGAAUGAAACCCAAACUAGGAGGCAACUCUAAUUUAUAAGCAAUAUUGUUCACUCUUCUCAAGAUCUAGUACGGCCCAACACAAUGGGGACUGCACUUCCCUUUCUUCCUAAAUUACAUCACUACCUUCAUAGGAGAUACCUUCAAGAACAACUAAUCACCAACAUCAAACUCUAACUCUUUUCAC
rnacentral:lncRNA from 1 species